GCCACAGAGUUACAGCCAUGGAAUGAGUUAGAGCCGUGGAGUUAAAACCAUGGGGUUACAGCCAUGGAAUGAGUUAGAGCCAUGGGGUUACAGACAUGGAGUUACAGGCAUGGAAUGAGUUAGAACCAUGGAGUUACAGACUGGAAUAAUGGAAGAAAUGCCAUGGAAAUGCUGGAGCUGCCUGCCCUGGGCAGUGACACGGGGCCAUUGGGUGGGAAACAGCCCUGGCUGUGGCCAUGCUCUAAAUAAAGUCAUUUAUUGGA